rnacentral:rRNA from 1 species
GACGAACCGUGCGAACGUUGUUCGGAUUCACUGGGCUUAAAGGCGCGUAGGCGGCUUGCCAAGUCAGGGGUGAAAUCUUUCGGCUCAACCGGAAAAGUGCUUCUGAUACUGGCAGGCUGGAGGGAGGUAGGGGCAGAUGGAACUUCCGGUGGAGCGGUGAAAUGCGUAGAUAUCGGAAGGAACGCCGGUGGCGAAAGCGAUCUGCUGGAUCUCUUCUGACGCUGAUGCGCGAAAGCCAGGGGAGCAAACGGG